rnacentral:rRNA from 1 species
UACAGAGGUCCCGAGCGUUGUUCGGAUUCAUUGGGCGUAAAGGGUGCGUAGGCGGCGGGGCAAGUCUGAUGUGAAAUCCUGGGGCUCAACCUCAGAACUGCAUUGGAUACUGCCCUGCUAGAGUACUGGAGAGGGGACUGGAAUUUACGGUGUAGCAGUGAAAUGCGUAGAGAUCGUAAGGAAGGCCAGUGGCGAAGGCGAGUUCCUGGACAGUUACUGACGCUGAGGCACGAAGGCCAGGGGAGCAAACGGG